CACAAGCGAAGCAACUAUGGAAUCCUGAACACUUGGAACAGACGUUGCAUAUAAAGCCUGGCGCAGUGCUGUGCUGAGCCACAAAGUGCUUGCACCUGCAGCGAAUGGGCCGCAUCCCCGCCCCAGAGGGACGAAGAGCAUCUCCCCUGGGCCUGGGGCCUCACCAGAGCACUCACACCAGCAGGGCCCCGUGGGCACUUGCCAUGUGCCAAGCACAGAGCUGACCAUUCUACGUGGGCUGUUUAAUCGUCACGGCAACCUGGUGAGGCAACCCAGGAGAGAGAUGGACACCAGGGGGCAGAGUGACGCUGUGGCCAGUCCGUGACCCGCACACCAGGCCUGGACUCCUGCGAGGACAGGUUGGAGGCCUGCGGCUCCCUGGUCACAUGCCCAGGUGGGAUUCGGUCCCGUGGUAUGUCUGUCCCCAAGACAAGGACACUGCACGGCCUCAGAAGCCAGGCGCCUGGACCCUCCUCCCCUCACAGCCCCUCCACCCUCAGGUCCUCCCCUAUUCUGGCCACUCAGUCUGAUCGUGCUGUGGUUUGCUGGUGGCUUCCACAGAGUGGGGUACCCAGGGCCCAGCACCGCCCUUGGGGGUGGGAGGGUCAGCUGGGUCCAGCACGGCUCUGCACACACCGUCCCGUGGACGCACCUUGGGGUCCCGUCAGCCCUCCUGGACUCGGUGCCGACCGUGGAAACUGCCGGGCUGCACGUCCCAUCUCAGUCCUUUCCACCAAACACACCUUAGCCUCAGUUUCCUUAACUGUCGGAGGACGGAGGUAGCACCUGCCAAGUGCAAGCCACAUCGGGGAAAGAGGCGAGAAGGGCUGGUGGCCACCAGGGGCACCCGAGCGCCGCCACCCAGGGCAGCCAGUCGGGGGCGGGGCCCUUGCACCUGCCACCGCUGGGCCGACCCGCAGCACCUGCCCAGGGACGCUGGCCGUCCUCUCCUUGCGCCUCCCCCGCCCUCCUGGAAGGCCCAGUGUGUCGGGCGGCCCACUCCCCGGACGCACAUGCAAACCCCAGGUGCUGUGGCCAAUGAGCAGGGCAAAGGGCACCUGGUGGGAACAGUGGGGACGGCGACUGGGAAGGAUGCUUGUUUGCUGAAAGAAUGGAGAUGACCGGAGCCCGGCCACGGCCAAGAAUACGACAGAGCGGAGUCGGCUCUCUCCACACAGUCUCUGCCGCUCACCUGGCCUCUGGUGUCUCACGCUGACCCUCACCGUCGUCCUGUUCCCCACUCCCAGGACGGGGUCCCCUCUGAGGAGAAUGACAAGCUGGCCCAGGUGGUAAAGUUAAUGGGUCAGGGGGGUGACACAUGGGACACAAAACAGAUAUCUGACUCCCAGCUCUUCCUCUUGGCAACGACCUCUUUCUGGUCUGACGGGGAAGGCACAAAUGCUCACACAACCCCCUUCCUCUUCGUGGGGGAUGAAGCCAAGGGUCAGCACUUUGACCUGGCUUAGCUGGGAGAAAAAGUCCCAUUUCCAAAGUGUCUGUCAUGUCCCUGGCAGCCAAGGGAAUGUCAGGAGGACACAUCUAUGACGGUUAAAUUUUUUAAAGAUUUUAUUUACUUAUUCAUGAGAGACACAGAGAGAGAGAGGCAGAGGCACAGGCAGAGGGAGAAGCAGGCUCCAGGCAGGGAGCCCAAUGGACUCGA